rnacentral:siRNA from 1 species
AUCGUCUUUCUCUGGUAACGACAA